UUAAUAUUAUUAUUGGGUUGCGACUUGUUUACAAUCUAGCAAAUUCCAUUUCAAUAAUACGUUUGUCACAGCAGAAAAAUACUAUGAUAACAAAAUGUUUUUCUUUGAUCGAAAAUCCACGAAAUAUAAAAGUUACAUGUUAACAGAAUAUGGGAUAGUCUUUUGUUAUCGUUAUUACAGUGAAAGAGAAAUAAUGAAGCUCGGAGUAAAAUUGUUUAUUGUAAUACUUUGUAUUAUGAACACAUGCAAUGCUCAACACACUUUUCCAAGCGUUCAAAAGUGUAGUAAAUUACCAAACACAAUUGUGCGUGAAACAGAUUUAUGCGAAUUGAGAAAAUGUUACAGAGAUGCAAUGGCAUUGUGCAAUGUUUUCAGCGGAAUUAAAUUGUGCGAUUGUAAAAUUGGAUAUUUUUUCAAUGACUGCAAUGGACAAUGUGUAAAACGGAAGGAUUGCCCAAAAAUAAUUGGCGGAAAACCACUGUGCAAAUAAACAAUCGAUAAUCAACGAAAAAGAACCCAUUAAUACAUCAAACUUUUAAAAGUUCAUGUUUUCAAUGGAAAAAAAUCACGAAGAAUUAAAUAAAUGCAGAGAAUUAUCUUUAAAUAACAUUUCUGAAUGUCAUAAUAUCAA